GUCGUGGGGCUGCAGGAGCAGGCCAACCUAGAUUAUUUGUAGCUUCUUACUAAAAGAUAAUUACUCUAUAUUUCUUAACCUAAAUGUAGGUUAAGAAGCUACAAAAUAAUCUAGGUUGGCCUGCUCCUGCAGCCCCACGAC
rnacentral:miRNA from 1 species